rnacentral:lncRNA from 1 species
UGAUUUUCCUGCCUUGGACUCCCAAAGUGCUGGGAUUACAGCAACUCCCAAAACACACAUGGCCCCAGAGAAUAAGAGGACCACAGCUGAGUUGCUUUUCAGACAUCAGACAGCUGUCCUUGUGGAUGAAAGAAACUCCUUUCCAACUUUGAAGAAAAUGUCCAGGGAUCGGGGAGCAGGCAUGUGAUAUUCUUCAAGGUGCCACCAGCCUUUCUCAAUAAAACAUCUCCAGUGGGAAAACAUGGAACCCAGAAAGGGCUGGUGUGGGAAAAAUAUGACAAGGAUGGCCGGCAAAGUAAACCCAUGGUGAAUUCAACCCUGAGAAAGCAGAUUUCCUGGAGUGUGCAAGCUUUGCUUAGGCUUAGUUUUAAUAAAUAAUAAAGAGACACAAUUAAACAAACUAAAGGUGAUCUUGCCCCGGAUGGCUCCUUAGGAUCUUUAGAACAUGGCAAUUCAAUUUAAACGCGGAGCCCCUACUCUGCUGGACUGACAGGAAAUUGAACUGUCCAGGUCAUGACUCCCGUGUAUGAAGUGCAGCUGUCCAGGUCACCCCUGGAACAUCUUUCACAACCUUGCUGAGGGCCCUGCUAGGAACCAGGCAUCUUAAGAAGCACUAGGUCAUCUGGAGGCCCUUCCCAUCAUUAGUUCACAUGAGCACGUCCCAGUCUGCAUGGUCUCCUUGGGGUUACCCCUCUGCUAUUAAAUAUUUUCUAGAAAAAAAAAAAAAAGACUCUUUGGCAAAGACCCAGCCUCCCUGAGGCACAUACAGCGAGGGGGUACCACCAAGAAGCAGGUGACAUCCUUGAGGCUUCUGGAUUCACAGACCUUUUUAGUUUAGGAAAAUACAGCCCUCCUCAAACCCUAUUCUUCUCUGCAGGUUUAUUUGAAAUGAAAGCCUGGAAGUCCAGCCACAAGUCUCUCCUGAGGCUGAGACACAGAGCCAGCCAGAAUGAAAAAUGGAAAGGGGAAAAUACAGAGAGAGAAAUUAAAUCAGUAUCUCAAAGGUUUUCCUCUUUUUUCUAAAAUGAAAUUCCUUUCAUUUUAGUGUUUAUUUUAGAGUUGAGGCAACUGAGACAUGGGCAUAAUGACCAAAGGCACACAACUAGUUACAAACAGUGACACAACCAGUUACUGACACCUACUAGUUACUGACAGAUACUAACAGCCAACAAUAGCUGGCUCUUUCUAUUAUACCAUGGUGCCUCUUCAUUUUUUCUGAUUUCCAACCUCUUUUCUAUUCUAAACUGCCCUUGUUGAUAGGCACUUAAGUCUCUGCACCUACAGUCUUAGACAUAUUUGGAAACUUCUCUUAAGCAUGUUGAUCCAUCCAGGGCUGAAUUAUCUGUGAUCAAAAGAAUUACUCCACCCUGGGGCAUAUCCAACAAGAUGAAAGAUUCAGAAAUAAAUUACAUUGUGCUCCAUUCUUCCUGGCUCUCAACAUCUUCCCGCAUAAGAAAUCAGUUUCCUGAGAGUCUCCAGGCUCCAAAAGGCCAUCCUAAGGGAUGAAGGCAAAGUCUCAUGGGUCCAGCCACCCACCACAGACAUCUCUAGGAUGACUUUGGGGACCUGAUUGUUCCUGUGGCAAUGAUGCAUGUGGCCUGGGAGUUUUGGGAAAGGUAGGUUCAUGAGCUAUUUAUGUGUAGUUAAGUGUUUGGUCUUUCUGAGCAUCAGCUGGCAAGGCCAUGUCCUCAUCCCACUGCCUCUGAGAGUCACUGCUUAGCUGUGUCUAAGCAAUGAGGGGAAGAGGGGGUGAUAUUGUAUCUAACUUUGAGAGUAAUCAUUACUGUGUCAGUGUGCAAAUGACAAGUUCCAGUGGGUAGUGUAGAAGGUUUUCUAGUUAUUUUGUCUAUUAUAGGCAUGGUCCAAUACUUCCUCUUCCUCUUUCUUUUAAUAAAGGACUGCAAGAGAAAAGGA